UACGUAGGGCGCAAGCGUUAUCCGGAAUUAUUGGGCGUAAAGAGCUCGUAGGCGGUUUGUCGCGUCUGCCGUGAAAGUCCGGGGCUCAACUCCGGAUCUGCGGUGGGUACGGGCAGACUAGAGUGAUGUAGGGGAGACUGGAAUUCCUGGUGUAGCGGUGAAAUGCGUAGAUAUCGAGAGGAACACCUGCGGCGAAGGCGGGUUGCUGGGCCGACACUGACGCUGAAGCGCGAAAGCUAGGGGAGCGAACGGG
rnacentral:rRNA from 1 species